GAUAGCGGAUAGUACCGUGAGGGAAUGGUGAAAAGUACCGCGGGAGCGGAGUGAAAUAGUACCUGAAACCGUGUGCCUACAAGCCGUGGGAGCGUCGGAUACGUGCUUGCACGUAUCUCGUGACUGCGUGCCUUUUGAAGAAUGAGCCUGCGAGUUUGCGGUGUGUUGCGAGGUUAACCCGAGUGGGGAAGCCGUAGCGAAAGCGAGUCCGAAU
rnacentral:ncRNA from 1 species